rnacentral:tRNA from 1 species
GAGAUUUAGGCUAACACAAUAGACCAAGAGCCUUCAAAGCUCUAAGUGAAAGUGAGAAUCUUUCAAUCCCUG